rnacentral:rRNA from 1 species
AGUGAACGCUGGCGGCGUGCCUAAUACAUGCAAGUCGAACGCGAAAGUCCUUCGGGAUGAGUAAAGUGGCGCACGGGUGAGUAAUACAUGGGAACAUGCCCUUGGAUGGGGAAUAACGUUUGGAAACGAACGCUAAUACCGCAUAAUCUCGCGAGAGUAAAGGUGGCGCCGCAAGGGCUACCGUCCAAGGAUUGGCCCAUGUCCCAUUAGCUAGUUGGCGGGGUAAUGGCCCACCAAGGCAACGAUGGGUAACUGGUCUGAGAGGAUGAUCAGUCACACUGGAACUGAGACACGGUCCAGACUCCUACGGGAGGCAGCAGUAGGGAAUAUUGCACAAUGGGGGAAACCCUGAUGCAGCAACGCCGCGUGAGUGAAGAAGGCCCUUGGGUUGUAAAGCUCUUUAGCGUGGGAAGAAGGUAGAUAUGGUGAACAAUCAUGUUUGCUGACGGUACCACGAGAAUAAGCACCGGCUAAUUUCGUGCCAGCCGCCGCGGUAACAC